rnacentral:rRNA from 1 species
UACGUAGGGAGCAAGCGUUGUCCGGAAUUAUUGGGCGUAAAGCGCACGUAGGCGGACCAUCAAGUCGGUUGUGAAAUCCCUCGGCUUAACCGAGGACGUGCAUUCGAAACUGAUGGCCUUGAGUACGAAAGAGGAUCGCGGAAUUCCCGGUGUAGAGGUGAAAUUCGUAGAUAUCGGGAGGAACACCAGUGGCGAAGGCGGCGAUCUGGGUCGAUACUGACGCUGAGGUGCGAAAGCGUGGGGAGCAAACAGG